AAUGGCAAUACGACAAUUCAGCAUCAUGCAAACUUUCUCUGUCAUAUGUGAAGGUUAUACGAGAUUGCAGCUCAAAGGAAAUCCAUCAAAUGUGUGUUCUGGGCAGCUGGAAAAAGAAGAAAAUAACAACUGGGUACCUGUUCAACAGGACAACUUUGAUUUUGAUGUGUGCCAGCAAAUGCACUGCGGUAACUCUCUCAGCCCAAACAACAGCACAAACAAAAACCUUAAUGUGACAUGCACAGAUAAAGUUAAAGUAGUUCUGAAGGACUCUGGUAAAGACAGCAAGUGCUAUGGUACAGUUAAUAUUGAAGUGAAUGGUUCAGUUAAUCCUGUGUGUGCCUCCACCUGGACUAAAAAGGAAGCUGAAUUGGUCUGCAAGGAGCUUGGAUGUGGGGAACUGAUUUAUACUAAAGUCGAACGUCAAAAUUCAGAGGGAUAAUGGACCGUGUGAGCUGCAAAGGCAGCGAGUCCUCACUGUGGCACUGUCAGUCUCAGCAUGGCAACAUCCAGUGUUCAAACCAACCUUAUGUGGUGUGUUCAGGCAGUGUGGAGGUGAACCUGGCAGAUGGUCCUGGAAGAUGUGCUGGAAGAUUGGAGAUAAAGCAUGAGGGCCAGUGGAAGAAAGUUCCUGUAAAAGAAUGGACAGACGCUCAAUCAGCAGCUGUCUGCAAACAACUGCAAUGUGGGGAAAAAGGCAAAACUGAAAAAUUCAGUCAGGGUUCUGGUGGCUUCCUGUCAAUAACGUGUCCGACAAAUAAGAAGAUAUCAAAGAUAUCUGAGUGUUUAACAGAAAACUCAAACAAAAAAAAUUCGGAUCAGGAAGCAGCUGGAAUCACCUGUGAGGGUCACAAGGUGGUGUUUUUAAGUGGAACCUGUUCUGGUCACGUGGGGAUAGAGCAUGGCAGAGAAAUCUACUGGCUCUCUGGGUCUAAAGAGACAUGGAACCAAGAGUCUGCAGACACAGUGUGUCAGCAGAUGCAUUGUGGGAACGCUCAAGUUUUCUUUCAAUUCUAAGGCUGAUAUGAUUAAUAAAGUUUGGAAAAACUCUUUUAGCUGCUCAUCCAGAAAAAAGUCUCUUUUUGAGUGUAACCAAACUACACCUCUGCCUCCUGACCACCAUAAUUCUACUGCUUAUGUGAACUGUUCAGGAAAUAUUAAGAUGAGGUUGACGAACAGCUGCUGGGGAAAAGUCAGGAUUCGUGUAGAAGAGAAGGAAGGAGAUAUGUGUGCAGACACCUGGACAGAAGACAAGUCUGUGAAGCUGUGUGAAAAGCUGAACUGUGGGACGCCCAUAAAAGCCCACAACAGUCCCAAAGAUGGUGAUAUCCUCUUUAAGAGUUUACACCCGACAAAUCAGACUACUGACCUGACACAGAGCAUCUUUGUCAAAAACCAGGACAAUGAUAAGUCCUGUAAACAAAAACCAGCCUAUGUUGUUUGCUCAGGUAGUGUCAAGCCCAGAUUUAGCAUUCCCAGUUACAAAUGCUUUGGAAACGUAGAGGUGGAGUAUGAGGGGAAGUGGAUCCCUGUGUGCGAGGAUGCUCUCAAAGACACUAACAAUGGAAACACCAUCUGUCAGGAGCUUAAAUGUGGUGAUGCUGUGGAGACUCUUCCCUACUUUGGACCUGCACCAGCAGAGAAAUUAGCCAUUUCAAACCUAAACUGCAUUGCAAAUGCUAACAGUCCAUUAUCUGCAUGCAGCAGUAUUACUGCUUCUACAGCUGCCUGCAAACACAGUGGCCUCCGAUGCUCUGAAUGGAGGACGAUGGUACCUGACAAAAAGGCCUGUAGUGGAACAGUGUUGGUUCACUGGAGACAGGGACUCAGUGCUGUUUCCAGAGAAAACUUCAAUGAAACUGAGAAGGAAAAGCUUUGCCAGGAUAUGGACUGUGGUGGAUACCAAUCAACAAAUGAAAUCCACCCCCAAACAAUUGAAAUAUAUUCUUUUUGGAACAAAAGCUUCAGCUGUGGUGAAAAUCCAGGAAGCAUUUGGGAAUGUGAAAAUAAAACCACGCCCUCAAGGAAGGAGCCCGUCUUUAUUGAAUGCAAAAAGGAGCCCAGUGUCAGCCUUUCACAGGGCUGUCAUGGGGAAGUGAGGAUAGAUGGCGUUCCAGUGUGUGCUAGUAACUGGGAUCUAUCCUAUGCACACAAAGUUUGCCAAGAAAAGCUUUGUGGCAAUGCUGUCUUCAUUGAAUCCAAAGCUCCAUCAAAGGGUUCAGGUAACAUUUACCAUGUCAGCUGUGAAAAGUACCAUUCCAUCAUUGGCAAGUGCAGGAGGACUAAAGGAAAGUGUGACACAAAUGUGGUGUUCAUUACUUGUAGUGAAAGUGUAAAGUUCCGCACGACUGAAAAACAUGGAGGUGUCCUUUAUGUCAAUUAUCGAGAUAAGUGGGAAAGAGUAUGUCCAUUUAGGGCGGAAGAGAAAGAGUAUGUCCAAAACUUAACGGCAAAGCUCUGUGAAGAAAUUAAUAAUGAGACCCAUAGCAGCUCUACGGAGAUCAAACAGGUAAAUCUUUACAUUCUGUUUCUUGAAACCAGUCACUAAUCUUUCUCGUAUGUUACAAACCAAUAUCAUGGACAGUUUCCUGGCUCUGUGUUUCAGCUUAUUUAAAUCUAAUAAUGAAGACUGGAAUGUGAUUUUUAUAUUAUUUAGGUUUAUGAAAUGGAAAGAAAUGUAUGGGAGGUUUAGCUGACUAAAUACAAAAUGCUCAAAGAUUUUUAAGUUAAAAACUUACUGGACACUUUGCUGACACGUAAUUUGCAGAAAUAUAAAAUAAAUUGAAUGUCCCAAUACUUUUGGUCACUUUAGUGACUUCUUUUGCUGUGUGUUGCUUUGAUGCUUCAGUCAGGCCUGUUUUUUACUGCCAGAGAUAUUUCAGUGUUUUCUAUUCUGGCUGUAUCUCUAAAUGUGAAAAAGUUUAAAUUUGAUUCAAGGUCAGACUUAGAAACAACACUGGAGUUCACUGAUGUUAACAUGGACAUCAAGCGCUCUGUCAAACAACGUUCCUGCGGAAACGUUUCUCCAGCUGAAAUACUUUGCUAUGUACCAGUGACUCCCACACCACCAACCCCUACACGUCCGCCUAUACCCACAGGACCUAUUAUCGUGGGUGGGAUAUUUCUUCUUGUUGUAGUGAUCUUGAUUUCUUCAUUUAU